rnacentral:lncRNA from 1 species
GUCCCCUGUGGAGUCAGAUUUUCCUGAGUUUAUGUACCUUUUUCAGGUCUUUCUCAGAUGUUUGGUUGAUUGAUAUCUCUCACCCUUAUACCGGUCUUAGAUAUUCAUUCUUCUUGAGUUUGUUACCCUUAUACCAGUAACACCUCAUUCUUUGUCGCUUCCCCAGGAGAGUCUCUUUGUUAGACAUUUCUCCAGUGGAGUUUCCUGUUGUGAUUUUUUACCCUUUUUG